rnacentral:rRNA from 1 species
CCCUUAGAUGUUCUGGGCCGCACGCGCGCUACACUGUUCGACGCAGCGAGUCUUAACCUUGACCGAAAGGUUUGGGUAAUCUUCAGCAAAGUCGAACGUGAUGGGGAUCGAUCAUUGCAAUUAUUGAUCGUGAACGAGGAAUUCCUAGUAAGUGCAAGUCAUCAGCUUGCGCUGAUUACGUCCCUGCCCUUUGUACACACCGCCCGUCGCACCUACCGAUUGAAUGAUCCGAUGAAUACCAUGGAUUGAGAGUACGAAUAGGUUCGCUUAUUUCUGCUUCUCGAGAAGUGGAGUAAAUCUUAUCAUUUAGAGGAAGGAGAAGUCGUAACA